CGGCCUUAUCCCCUGUCGAUUUGAGAAGAUUAACUCAUUCUCUUUUCUUCUUCUUUUUCAUUCUUCUUUCUUAUUCUCUUUCAUUCUUCUCUGUUCUUUCUUCUUUCCUCCUUUCGGUCGAUUCCGUCGACGAAGCUAGCAUAAUUUGAUGCGAGUGAUUCAUCAAAUUUUAGUAGUUAGUUGUAUGAUGGAGAAGGUGAUGGUGCUGAAAUUGUUCGACCACAGGAAGAAGCAGAAAAAGGUUGUUUGAAAUUGAGAAGCAUUUUGGUGAAUGGAGGCAGGGAUAAUGAAUCUGUGAAUGGAGGUAGUAAUUGAUGGAUAGAAUGAGAUCCAAGGAAACUCAGUUAUAAUCUGGUGGAGCUAAAUGAUUUCAGGGAGUUCAUGGAGUUAAGCUCAGUUUAAAAUAAAGAAGAUGAAUGGAUGUUACAGAAUUAAGUAGAUUUCCUGAAAUGACAAUGAUGUUGCUGUUGUGGUGUUGAUGUUGUACGGUUGUUGGUAGAAGCUAAAUUGAGUUGCUUGUGACAAACAUGAAGAAGUUGAUGUGUUGUAUGUAUUUUGAAUUAGAAGAAUUGUUAUAAUACAGCUUAAUUGGUUGAGAUGGUGAUUUAUAUAGCUUGUUUGCUGAAGCUGGAGAUUGAAUGGAUUGAGUUGUGGCUGUAGUUUCGGUUUGAUGUGGGUUACAUGAAGACAAAGAUGGUUAAAUGUGUGAGUGUUGUGAACUGAAUCUUACAACUGAAACAGAAAUGGUAUUGAAGAUGAACCUGGUUUAGAUGAGGGUGUGAGCUGUGAAUGUGCAAGUGUGGUGUUGUUGGUAGUACUUAAGUUGUUAUUUGUCAUUGGGAAAUGCUCAGGAGUUACAGGAAUGAAAUAUGAAGUAUGGCUGGUUAGUGAGAUGUAUUUGUACCUUCAGUUGAGAGCAAGGACUUGAUAGUGUUGAUGCAGUUAGAACUGUGGUUGGAGUUAUAGGAAUUUGGUAUAUGCUGAAAUUUAUAUGAGGUGUUGAUGUUUGAAGUUACACAUUCGAAGAAUACUAGUAUCGUAAUGAGUUGCAGUUGAAGAUUAUGUAUGAACUGUUGGUAUUCAUUGUACAAAAGAAUGGAACUGGAAUUGGAACUGCAGAGGUUGAGGAACUGCUGGUGGAAGUGUAGCCAGGGAUGAGAUGUUGCAGAGACGAUGUUCAAGACUCAAAUGGAUUAAGAGAUUGAUUGCAGUUGUUGCAGUUGAGCUGGAUCAGUUAAUUUUUUAGUCGCAGCUGUUGGAAAUGAGAUGUACUUAGUAUCUAAUUGAGAUAUAAAGUAAUAGAUUAGUUGUAUGUUUGAUUGUAGUAUUGAAUAUUGUAAGAUAGGUUUUGAACUGUUAGUUUCACAGAACCAACAAGCUUAAAUGAUUCAGA